rnacentral:rRNA from 1 species
GACGAACGCUGGCGGCACGCUUAACACAUGCAAGUCGAACGAGAGAAGAGAAGCUUGCUUUUCUGAUCUAGUGGCGGACGGGUGAGUAACACGUGAGCAAUCUGCCUUUCAGAGGGGGAUACCGAUUGGAAACGAUCGUUAAUACCGCAUAACAUAAUUGAACCGCAUGAUUUGAUUAUCAAAGAUUUAUCGCUGAAAGAUGAGCUCGCGUCUGAUUAGCUAGUUGGUAAGGUAACGGCUUACCAAGGCGACGAUCAGUAGCCGGACUGAGAGGUUGAUCGGCCACAUUGGGACUGAGACACGGCCCAGACUCCUACGGGAGGCAGCAGUGGGGAAUAUUGCACAAUGGAGGAAACUCUGAUGCAGCGAUGCUGCGUGAGGGAAGAAGGUUUUAGGAUUGUAAACCUCUGUCUUCAGGGACGAAAAAAGACGGUACCUGAGGAGGAAGCUCCGGCUAACUACGUG